GAUGAACGCUAGCGGCAGGCCUAACACAUGCAUGUCGAGGGAGGAGCUUUCGGGCUUCGACCGGCGUACGGGUGCGUAACGCGUAUACAAUCUGCCUUUCACAUAGGGAUAGCCCGAAGAAAUUUGGAUUAAUACCUAAUGGUAUAUAGGAGUGGCAUCACAUUUAUAUUAAAGCUGAGGCGGUGAAAGAUGAGUAUGCGUUCUAUUAGCUAGUUGGAGAGGUAACGGCUCCCCAAGGCGACGAUAGAUAGGGGUUCUGAGAGGGAUAUCCCCCACACUGGUACUGAGAUACGGACCAGACUCCUACGGGAGGCAGCAGUGAGGAAUAUUGGACAAUGGUCGGAAGACUGAUCCAGCCAUGCCGCGUGCAGGAAGACGGCCUUAUGGGUUGUAAACUGCUUUUGCAGGGGAAGAAUAAGGACUACGAGUAGUUUGAUGACGGUACUCUGCGAAUAAGCAUCGGCUAACUCCGUG
rnacentral:rRNA from 1 species